UGGGGAAUAUUGGACAAUGGGCGAAAGCCUGAUCCAGCCAUGCCGCGUGUGUGAAGAAGGUCUUCGGAUUGUAAAGCACUUUAAGUUGGGAGGAAGGGCAGUAAAUUAAUACUUUGCUGUUUUGACGUUACCGACAGAAUAAGCACCGGCUAACUCUGUGCCAGCAGCCGCGGUAAUACAGAGGGUGCAAGCGUUAAUCGGAAUUACUGGGCGUAAAGCGCGCGUAGGUGGUUAGUUAAGUUGGAUGUGAAAUCCCCGGGCUCAACCUGGGAACUGCAUUCAAAACUGACUGACUAGAGUAUGGUAGAGGGUGGUGGAAUUUCCUGUGUAGCGGUGAAAUGCGUAGAUAUAGGAAGGAACACCAGUGGCGAAGGCGACCACCUGGACUGAUACUGACACUGAGGUGCGAAAGCGUGGGGAGCAAACAGGAUUAGAUACCCCCGUAGUCCCUGAGCGGGCUGGCAAGGCGCAU
rnacentral:rRNA from 1 species